rnacentral:rRNA from 1 species
UACGGAAGGCAGCAGUGGGGAAUAUUGCACAAUGGGCGCAAGCCUGAUGCAGCCAUGCCGCGUGUAUGAAGAAGGCCUUCGGGUUGUAAAGUACUUUCAGCGGGGAGGAAGGCGGUGGAGUUAAUAGCUUCACCGAUUGACGUUACCCGCAGAAGAAGCACCGGCUAACUCCGUGCCAGCAGCCGCGGUAAUACGGAGGGUGCAAGCGUUAAUCGGAAUUACUGGGCGUAAAGCGCACGCAGGCGGUCUGUCAAGUCGGAUGUGAAAUCCCCGGGCUUAACCUGGGAACUGCAUUCGAAACUGGCAGGCUAGAGUCUUGUAGAGGGGGUAGAAUUCCAGGUGUAGCGGUGAAAUGCGUAGAGAUCUGGAGGAAUACCGGUGGCGAAGGCGGCCCCUGGGACAAAGCUGACGCUCAGGUGCGAAAGCGUGGGGAGCGAAACAGGAUUAGGAUACC